rnacentral:rRNA from 1 species
GACGAACGCUGGCGGCGUGCUUAACACAUGCAAGUCGAGCGGAAGGGCCCUGCGUUUGUGUGUUGCUCGAUUGGCGAACGGGUGUGUAACACGUGAGUAACCUGCCCUUGACUUUGUGAUAACUUCACGAAACUGGGGCUAAUACCGGAUAUGAUCUCCUGCUCCGUGGUGUUGGUUGGAAAGUGUCGGCGGUUGGGGAUGGACUCGCGGCUUAUCAGCUUGUUUGUGGGGUAGUUACUUACCAAGGCUUUGACGGGUAGCCUGCAUGAGAGGGUUAACGGGCACAUUGGGACUGCGAUACGGACCAGACUCCUACGGGCGGCAGCAGUGGGGAAUAUUGCACAAUGGGGGGAAGCCUGAUGCAGAAACGCCGCGUGCGGGAUGCCGGCCUUCGGGUUGUAAACCGAUUUCGAAUGUGACGAAGAGUGCGUGACGGUAAUGAGUAAAGAAGCAACGGCUAACUACGUG